UUCCCUCUGCCGGUCUCGUGCUUGUGGUUUUCAUGAUCCCCUUAUGUAUGUGAACCAGGGAGGCAAACGAUCGCUCGUUGUGCACGCCGGACCAUCUCUCACGAGCUCUGGAUAAUUCGGAAGCCUGAAGCGCGAUCCGCGUCGCCCACCUAGCCUACGGGCUAGGGGUUCAUGACAAUCCGCACACGGACCAAGCGGUACGGAA
rnacentral:other from 1 species